rnacentral:rRNA from 1 species
UACGAAGGGGGCUAGCGUUGCUCGGAAUCACUGGGCGUAAAGGGUGCGUAGGCGGAUUGUUAAGUCAGGGGUGAAAUCCUGGAGCUCAACUCCAGAACUGCCUUUGAUACUGGCGAUCUCGAGUUCGGGAGAGGUGAGUGGAACUGCGAGUGUAGAGGUGAAAUUCGUAGAUAUUCGCAAGAACACCAGUGGCGAAGGCGGCUCACUGGCCCGAUACUGACGCUGAGGUGCGAAAGCGUGGGGAGCAAACAGG